AAGGGAUAAGUGAAAAUGAUAAGGAUGUGAAAGGAUAAGUAAAAGUAUGAAAGAAUGAUGUUACGGUUAAGCAUGGGUGGGGAAGCAUAUAGAGUCUAAGGAAAGUAUGUGUGGCAGUAGUUCUCGCUAGGUAUCCAUAGGAGAUGUGGCGAAUCCACAAGAAUAUGGAAGCACCCAUAGGAGAUGUGGCAAAUCCACAAGAAUAUGGGGUAGAAGCCUAGUAGGAGCUACCCACUGAUGAUAAGAACGUGUGCCAACCGCGAGAGGCGGGAUAUAAAAACGUGCAUCAUGGUCGGGUAACGGGGAGUUAAAGGUGUCAUAAGAUUGAGUCGGGCUGGGAGUAAUGAUUGUUAAUAUUAUUGAAGUAGAACUUGAGUGCAAUGUGUAUUGUGUGUGGCACCGAUAACGGGUGGCGUCUAGUGAAUGAGUCCAAGUACAAGUCUAAAUGAAAAGGGAAGCGAAUGAGAAUGGGAAGGGAUAAGUGAAAAUGAUAAGGAUGUGCGUUUUCUAAAAAAAAAAAAAAAAAAAAAAACUUGUUUUCAUUUAAAGAAAAGAGUUUGUGAAAGUUUUGAUUCCCCCAAAAGUUGUGAAACGAUUUUAAAACCACCCACUAUAUAUGUACGUCUAUUAUGGUUUUGAUAAGAUCCAUUUUACUUGCAGAAUUUCUUCCGAGCUUAGUUUAUUUAUUGUUUUCUUUUAACGAUCCCGAGCAAUGUGGUUCUCGCCUUGUAUGCCUCCCUUGAUUGAUGUGUGAUUGUGUGAGUCCAUUUCGAUAUCGGAUGUUAAGUUCAGAAGUCUAGGGCUUGGAAUUCGGGGAUGAAUUCCAAUUAACAGGGGGAGAAUUGUAACGGCCCGGUUCCUAUCCCAAAAAUUUUCAUAAAAGAAUGGACUUCUCUACGGCCCACUUGACAAAAACCUAGGGUUCCCUUCCGCUUUCCUAUAAAAAGAGAUGCAGCCUCCCUUUUGACUCAUACAUAAACUAAAGUGAAGCUCUACAGAGAAUUCCCGGAGACCAGAAACCCUAGCCGUCGAGCUCUCCCUUUCUCUCUUGCGCCGUCUUUCUCUCUCUUCUCUCUCUCUCCCGCGCGAUGCUCUCUCUCUCCUCGCCGUCGCUCUCUCUCUCCUCGCCGUCGCUCUCUCUUUCCUCGCCGUCGCUCUCUCUUUCCUCGCCGUCGCACGCUCUCUCUCUCCUCGCCGUCGCACGCUCUCUCUCUCCUCGCCGGCGCCGUGUGGUAGUGGUGGUGACCGGAUCUCAAUCUUCUCUCCCUUGUCUCUUGUUUCCAAUGUUUCCAGAUCCAGAUCUAGGCUAAGGUGGAGUGUCUUGAACCCAUCUUGUUCUCAUGUUCUGUAUACUCCUUUAUGUUGGAGUUAGGAUUGAUUAGACCCUGUUUGAAGAGCUAGGAUGAUAGAACCUGGUUAGUACUAGGUUGAUAGAUGAAUGGAUCAUGAUGCAUAAGAACCCUCAUACUGUUAAAUGGGACUUAAUGAACUGUCUUGUGUUGUUGUGGUGGUGAAUGAUUAGUAUUUGAUGCUUGUAUGCUUGGAUGUGUAGUCCCAUGAGUGGUUUGUGAUUAAAGCUAGGAUGCUAGGAAGAAUGAAUGCUAAGAUGAUAGAUGACUACUAAUUGCUGUUGAUAUUGUAAGUGAAACAUGAGUGCGAUGUGUAUUGUAUGUGACAUCGAUAACGGGUGACGUCUAGUGAUUGAGUCCAAGUACAAGCCUAAAUGAAAAAGGAAAGUAAAUGAGAAUGGGAAGGGAUAAGUGAAAAUGAUAAGGAUGUGAAAGGAUAAGUAAAAGUAUGAAAGAAUGAUGUUACGGUUAAGCAUGGGUGGGGAAGCAUAUAGAGUCUAAGGAAAGUAUGUGUGGCAGUAGUUCUCGCUAGGUAUCCAUAGGAGAUGUGGCGAAUCCACAAGAAUAUGGAAGCACCCAUAGGAGAUGUGGCCAAUCCACAAGAAUAUGGGGUAUAAGCCUAGU
rnacentral:lncRNA from 1 species